GAUCAUGGCUCAGGAUGAACGCUGGCGGCGUGCUUAACACAUGCAAGUCGAACGAAGCACUUAAGAUUGAUUCUUCGGAUGACGUCUUUUGUGACUUAGUGGCGGACGGGUGAGUAACGCGUGGGUAACCUGCCUCACACAGGGGGAUAACAGUUAGAAAUGACUGCUAAUACCGCAUAACCCGAUAGGAUCGCAUGAUCCAGACGGAAAAGNUUUAUCGGUGUGAGAUGGACCCGCG
rnacentral:rRNA from 1 species